rnacentral:rRNA from 1 species
GACAGAGGGUGCAAACGUUGUUCGGAAUUACUGGGCGUAAAGCGAGUGUAGGCGGUUUUCUAAGUCAGGUGUGAAAGCCCCCGGGCUCAACCCGGGAAGUGCACUUGAAACUGGAAGGCUAGAGUAUCGGAGAGGUUGGUGGAAUUCUCGGUGUAGAGGUGAAAUUCGUAGAUAUCGAGAGGAACACCGGUGGCGAAGGCGGCCAACUGGACGAAUACUGACGCUGAGACUCGAAAGCGUGGGGAGCAAACAGG